ACUCCUACGGGAGGCAGCAGUAGGGAAUUUUCCGCAAUGGACGAAAGUCUGACGGAGCAAUGCCGCGUGAGUGAUGAAGGUUUUCGAAUUGUAAAGCUCUGUUGUAAGGGAAGAAUAGCAAGAAUAGGAAAUGAUUCUUGUCUGACGGUACCUUACCAGAAAGCCACGGCUAACUACGUGCCAGCAGCCGCGGUAAUACGUAGGUGGCAAGCGUUAUCCGGAAUUAUUGGGCGUAAAGCGCAUGUAGGCGGCUUUUUAAGUCUGAUGUGAAAGCCAGUGGCUCAACCACUGAAUUGCAUUGGAUACUGGAAAGCUAGAAUCUUGGAGAGGUAAGUGGAAUUUCAUGUGUAGCGGUGGAAUGCGUAGAUAUAUGAAGGAACACCAAUGGCGAAGGCAGCUUACUGGACAAGUAUUGACGCUGAGAUGCGAAAGUGUGGGUAGCAAACAGGAUUAGAUACCCUGGUAGCUCGAUGU
rnacentral:rRNA from 1 species